CUGAAAAUAACUAUAAGAAGAUGGAGCUUGAAUUCAAUCAAUUCAGGCAAGUAGUUGGCCGUAACUCUGAUAAAUUUGUCUGCAUAGCCGAAGCUAUAGUACGGGAAUAUGUGCCAGUUGUUAUUAAAAAUUGGCCUUUAGUGGAUGACAAGAAGAAAAUUGAACUUUGAAAUUUUAUACAGGUACAUUUAUUUAAUAUGAUACUUUUUUAAUUAUUCGUUAUACAUUUUUCGUUUAAAGCUUCACUGCCAUUUUCGUUCAAAGCUUGACACCAUUUUUUAUAUUUAUGAUAAAUAUAGCAAAGAUUCAAUGUUAGUGACUGCCAUAAAAAAAUGACAUUUCAAUGUAUGGGAACAUAUUGGAGGACAUUCAAAUCAAGAUUGAGAAAAGAAAUCAAACAUCAAGUACCAUCUACUGUGAAUAGAAAAUGCGCUAUUGCCCUUCUUAGACCGAAGAAUAUAAACUCUGAAGAAGCAUG
rnacentral:lncRNA from 1 species